AUUUUUUGAAAGCCAUGUUCCACAGAGAUACUUAACACACUGGGUGUGUUUGCUCUUUUAGUUCUUUCUCUCUGUUGCAGUUGGCUAAGAAGAAAAUGAGCAGGGUCUUUAGCUAAUCCUCUGUCUUUCCUUGUGAGAAAAAUGAACUGUUUUUUUUCCCUCUUCUUUAAAAAUACAAGAUUAAGCUUUUUAAGAUAGCAUUAGUCCUUGUAAGCUUUGACUUAGUCUCUGUUCAUCCAAAAUUUACCUUGCUUUGCAUUUCCAGUGUAGUUGUGGGUUCACUCACCCCUGCAGGAUACAUGCCCAGUGAUCGUAAGCUAAAACUUGAACAUCAAGUGCAGCUUAAGUGCAAAUGUUGAAUCAUGGUAGAGCUCUAAUUUAGUUUGAAACCCAUGUUUUUCUUUUCUUGAUUUCCCAUCUUAAUUUUUUUUCUGUGGAUGUCCAGUUUGUCUAGGUUUACCAAGAUGACAAGUUAAGAUAGUUUAGAUGACUAACAUCUGAGUUAAGAUUUUUUUAAUGAAGACCUGAAAAUAUCCACACCUGCUAUGACUUUUCCAGUAUGCUAUGUAUUGAAAUAUCCUUUCCACAGCUUUUAUUAGAGCUGCAAAAGUCUUGUUUACACUUUUUUGCAUGUGAUGCAUGUUGGCUUAGCCAGAGCUUUUUUUUUCUUGGAAAAGAGUGGAAGAUGAGUUUGCAUCAGUUUUUAUAUUGCAUGUUUUUAAAUUGAACAGCCUGAUUCUGAAAGUCUGAGAAAUCUGUCGGCCAGUGUGCUGCUUCUACCUGCAGACAGACGUGGAACAUGUUUGCAGAGUAUUUCAAGGGAGCAAGACAAUGGCUUUUCAGAGAAACCCAGCCAAUCCCAGCAGAAGAUCUCUGAAUCAAUUUUAGAAACAAAUGAAAUCUCUCCUAAAAGAGGAAGACAAAAAUCAGGUGAGUACUUGGAACCUACCUUUCAUGUGUCAUCCUCAGCUGAAAAACAGGAAGCCAUCAAGGAUCCUGUUGAAAACUAUGGGAGGCAGGAUAAAUAUGUUUUAGAAACUACCAACUUGAUAGAGAAAACAACACAUGAAAAUCAGACUGACAAAGCAGAAAUUUCACAUCGGGAAGCCCUAGCACAAAAUGAGAAAUUGCACAGUACUGACAAGAAGUUAAG
rnacentral:lncRNA from 1 species